rnacentral:rRNA from 1 species
GAUGAACGUUGGCGGCGUGCCUAAUACAUGCAAGUCGAGCGAACAGACGAGGAGCUUGCUCCUCUGACGUUAGCGGCGGACGGGUGAGUAACACGUGGAUAACCUACCUAUAAGACUGGGAUAACUUCGGGAAACCGGAGCUAAUACCGGAUAAUAUAUUGAACCGCAUGGUUCAAUAGUGAAAGACGGUUUUGCUGUCACUUAUAGAUGGAUCCGCGCCGCAUUAGCUAGUUGGUAAGGUAACGGCUUACCAAGGCAACGAUGCGUAGCCGACCUGAGAGGGUGAUCGGCCACACUGGAACUGAGACACGGUCCAGACUCCUACGGGAGGCAGCAGUAGGGAAUCUUCCGCAAAGGGCGAAAGCUUGACGGAGCAACGCCGCGUGAGUGAUGAAGGUCUUCGGAUCGUAAAACUCUGUUAUUAGGGAAGAACAAAUGUGUAAGUAACUAUGCACGUCUUGACGGUACCUAAUCAGAAAGCCACGGCUAACUACGUG